rnacentral:rRNA from 1 species
AUUGAACGCUGGCGGCAUGCCUUACACAUGCAAGUCGAACUGCAGCACGGGGCAACCUGGUGGCGAGUGGCGAACGGGUGAGUAAUGCAUCGGAACGUACCUUUCAGUGGUGGAUAACGUAGCGAAAGUUACGCUAAUACCGCAUAUUCUGUGAGCAGGAAAGCAGGGGAUCGCAAGACCUUGCGCUGAUUGAUCGGCCGAUUUCAGAUUAGCUAGUUGGUGAGGUAAAGGCUCACCAAGGCGACGAUCUGUAGCGGGUCUGAGAGGAUGAUCCGCCACACGGGAACUGAGACACGGUCCAGACUCGUACGGGAGGCAGCGGUGGGGAAUUUUUGACAAUGGGGGCAACCCUGAUCCAGCCAUGCCGCGUGAGUGAAGAAGGCCUUCGGGUUGUAAAGCUCUUUCGGCCGGGAAGAAAUCGCACGGGCUAAUACCCUGUGUGGAUGACGGUACCGGAAUAAGAAGCACCGGCUAACUACGUGCCAGCAGCCGCCGUAAAAC